AAUACUGCUCCAUCGCGACUCUACUGUCUCUUUGGAAAUAGUCAGAAGGUCUAGGAAGUGUGUAGGUCCCUGGUUGUUUUCUUUAAAUUUGAAAGUGGUCAGUAAAUAGAAAUACUGUUAAGCGUUUCGACAACUAGUACGUUUAGCUGUAGAUUGUGACUUUGGUUAAAUCGUAGUGCUUCAAGCUGAAGAGUCACGUUAGCAUUUCCCCGAUGGGCCCCAACCAGCCACGUGGAGAACACUGGCCAAUAUGAAAGACAAAGUGAAAUAUGGUAAUUUCUACUCAACCUCGUUAGUUAACGUGUAAUUUAGCUAGAACCUUCUGAAUGUUACUUCCUCUAAUGCCGAUGCAUUCGUCGUGAAGACACCUAGAAAAGUCAUGCCCAUGCUAACGGUUGCCAAAAAGUGGCCCUCAGUUGAGUGGCUCUCUGCAUAGGUUCCAAACCUUACAAUGGAUGUAUGGGUUCUCCUGAUGUCACUGCAAGGACUGAAAAGGGCCUUUCAAGAUGAUGGGGACAGACUCAGAUAUGUUGCAUAUCCUCCCACCUGAUCCAGCUGUCUAGACACAACUCAUUCCUUGCAGGAAAAAAUCCUGAAAGCUGCCAUAAGAUGUGGUGUAGUCAUGCAGUGCUGCGCCUACUUCCAACCAGCUGAUGAACAUCGCUCUUUGUGCAGACCAAAAGCUUGAGCUGCCAUAAGAUGUGUCAUGCAGUGCGGCAUACACUUCCAAACAACCCGGCCGACUGAAGAACACUCAUUUUGUUCAGAAAGAAAUCCUGUGAGCUGCCCUAGGAUGUGUUGUAGUCGUGCAGUGCUGCGCAUACUUCAAACCAGCUGAAAACCAAUUUUGUGCAGCAAAAAGCCUGAGCUACCAUAAGAUGUGUUGUCGUCAUGCAGUGCUGCAUACACUUCAAACACCCCGGCCGACUGAAGAACACUCAUUUUGUUCAGGAAAAAAUCCUGAAAGCUGCCAUAAGAUGUGGUGUAGUCAUGCAGUGCUGCGCCUACUUCCAACCAGCUGAUGAACAUCGCUCUUUGUGCAGACCGAAAGCUUGAGCUGCCAUAAGAUGUGGCGUGUCAUGCAGUGCGGCAUACACUUCCAAACAACCCGGCCGACUGAAGAACACUCAUUUUGUUCAGGAGGCCUGUGAGCUACCCUAGGAUGUGGUGUAGUCAUGCAGUGCUGCGUAUACUUCAAACCAAGCGGGCUGACUGAAGAACACUCACUUUGUGCAGGGUUGGGCUUGUUUACACCCGAGAUGUCUUGAGACUCGUCUUAUGGAGACCUUAUGACCGAGGGACUCGUGGACACAUCUGAAGAUGGAUUACUUUGUGUGUAUGAAAAACAUGUCACAUUCUAAACAUACACUGAUCUAUUGUAAUAAAGUCUCAGAACCGCCUGA